GCCGGCAGCCAGCUCUCUGCAACUCUCACAUGGUCGCCCACUGAAGCUAAGCAGGGCUGACCCUGGUCAGUACCUGGAUGGGAGACCACAUGAGAAAGCUAGGUUGUUGCCGAAA
rnacentral:rRNA from 1 species